GGUUGUAGCUCAGUGGUAGAGUGCUUGCCUAGCAUGUGCAAGGCACUGAGUUUGAUUCUCAGCACCA
rnacentral:tRNA from 1 species